GGGAUCGAUUCUCGUCGGCGCCGGUGACGAUGAGAGUGUUGUACGACCAGCGCGGCGGCGCGAUCGUCGCCGCAUUGGUGCUUCUUGUUCCGGCGUUCUUUCCGGCGAUGUUUUCGCCGCUCGGCCAUGCCUCUCCUUCUAUCUUCUCGGAGUGGAAUGCUCCCAAACCUAGGCACAUGUCACUGAUGAAGGGUGCUCUACAACGCCAAAUAUCU
rnacentral:misc_RNA from 1 species